AGAGUUUGAUCCUGGCUCAGGAUGAACGCUAGCGGCAGGCUUAAUACAUGCAGUCGAGGGGCAGCAGGUUUGUAGCUAUACAGAUGCUGGCGACCGGCAAACGGGUGAGGAACACGUACGCAACUUUCCUUCAAGUGGGGGAUAGCCCAGGGAAACUUGGAUUAAUACCCCAUAAUAUUACGNAAGCGGCAUCGUUUUGUAAUUAAAGCUCCGGCGCUUGAAGAUGGGCGUGCGCCUGAUUAGGUAGUUGGCGGGGUAACGGCCCACCAAGCUUACGAUCAGUAACUGGUGUGAGAGCACGACCAGUCACACGGGCACUGAGACACGGGCCCGACUCCUACGGGAGGCAGCAGUAAGGAAUAUUGGGCAAUGGACGAAAGUCUGACCCAGCCAUGCCGCGUGGAGGAUGAAGGUCC
rnacentral:rRNA from 1 species